rnacentral:rRNA from 1 species
UGGGGAAUAUUGGACAAUGGGCGAAAGCCUGAUCCAGCCAUGCCGCGUGUGUGAAGAAGGUCUUCGGAUUGUAAAGCACUUUAAGUUGGGAGGAAGGGCAUUAACCUAAUACGUUAGUGUUUUGACGUUACCGACAGAAUAAGCACCGGCUAACUCUGUGCCAGCAGCCGCGGUAAUACAGAGGGUGCAAGCGUUAAUCGGAAUUACUGGGCGUAAAGCGCGCGUAGGUGGUUUGUUAAGUUGGAUGUGAAAUCCCCGGGCUCAACCUGGGAACUGCAUUCAAAACUGACUGACUAGAGUAUGGUAGAGGGUGGUGGAAUUUCCUGUGUAGCGGUGAAAUGCGUAGAUAAAGGAAGGAACACCAGUGGCGAAGGCGACCACCUGGACUAAUACUGACACUGAGGUGCGAAAGCGUGGGGAGCAAACA